GUCAAUUUAAAACCCGCAUUUGUUAUGAAAGCAAUCUUGAUUCCCAUGAGAGGCCCGCUAGAGCCCCUUCAUUGCAACCCACUCUCGCUCAUCUUUGAUCUUCUUCCGUUUCUGAAUUGAGAGGCGAUAAGGCGUUCCAUGAUGGAGUAAGAGAGCAGUCGUUGUGGAGAUGAAGAGGUUUGCGCGUAUUUGUCUUUCUUUCUUCCAUUCGAUGCCCAAUUUCUAUUCUUUUUCUUUUCGAUAAAAUUUUUUUUUAUUGGAUAUCGUUGUUUUACCCGUCUCUUCUAGAGUUUUAUUGUCUCCAUCGGAUGCCAUUCAAAUUUCUAAAUUAUCCAAGAAACCCGCUAUUCGAGUUCUUGAUCGGGACAGCCACUUUUGGUUUCUUUUGAUUUCGAUAAUAACUUCGUGAUUAGUUUUGAUGCGGUGAAAAUAGAGAGGCAAUGCCUUGCCGGAUUGAUUUUCCCGUGUUUCCAUCUGAUAGUGGGACUGAAGUUUCUUGAUUGGUUGCGAGAUUCUUGCGAUCGACGAUGCGGUCGGCAAUGUCGGAGGAUCCGGAGCUCGGCGAUUUCUUGGAUUACAUGGAGAAGCUCAAGAAUUAUGAGCGAUUGGGUGUGCUUAAAGGGACUGGAACGGAUACUGAUGAUGAUUUGGAUCUUGGGAGGAUGAAGCAGCUGCUGCAACGACUUGGCAACCCCCACGCCCAAUUUAAGGGCCAAAGCCAAGAAGAGUAGGAACAAGAGGAGAUGUUUCAAAGGAGGGCUUGUUGGCUCUGGAGAUUGAGGGUGGCAGCCGCCCUCCCCCCUUGCUUUCUCUCUCCACCUGCCCAUAUUGACCCGAUCGUGUAGGAAUUCAAUUUGAAGCCAGUCCACUAAUGAACAGGUCGAAUGCCAGAGAUUCGGUUGUUGACAGAGGUCAGCAUUGCAGGAGGAAAAUCUCAUGUCGCUUCAGCUUCGACAUUAAAAGAUGUCUGGAUCAGAACUACAUUAGAUUUAGGAAUGGAUUUUUUUUGGAUAUUGGGGAUGAUUGAUGAUAGGAAGACUCUUGAGGGUCAUCCCAGUGAUUCACGAGGAUCAUCAGAUCACAACCCAGCAAUGUUGGUUAUGUGUCAUAUUUCAUCUGUAAGUGAUUCAAUUAAGGUUGCUGCUCGGUUGCUCAAGUCCAGGGUAGGUGAAAAGCGCAGUGUAAUUGUUGCUACUGGCUUCCUGCAUAUAGUUUCGGCUGCAUCAGCAGGUAUGCACCACUGAUCAGUUUCUGAGACAUGCAUAAUGCUCUAGUCUUGAUUAUUGGAAUAGUAGACAUGGGGUGUUAUCGACCUCUGUGCUUGUUUGAUUGAAACUUGGUUAUGCCAACUCCACAUGAUUGCAUGAAGAAGAUCAUUCUGAGUGUAGUAUGAUAGUGAUUCACGCAUUAUGGACAAGUCAAGACUCUGAACCUGCCCAAGGAAAUUAUGGAGUCCAAAUUCUUUGGAAUGGACAAAAAAAUACUGAAUCUGGAACCCUCCAAGCUGCGAAAGGUUUUGCCUGAUUCACGAUCCACUCAAGGUAUAUGCAUGGCUUGUUGGAGCACACCAUUUCUUGUACUCGAGUACAAGCUUCCAAGGAAGGAAAGAUGUUUAUUCCCGAAAGUCUCUGAGAUGGCGGUAAAUCACAGGGGACAUGGAUGGAUCAAACAAUGGUGUUGGUAAUUUGGAACAUAGCAUCGGAGGGGAGAGGAGGGAAGACAUCAUUAUUACCAUAGUUAUGGAUUCCAAGGGUGGUGAUGUCACCAUGGGUAGGAAGGCCAAGGACUUAGUAUCAUUGCAAGGGGCAUGGCUCCAAGAAGGCACGAACUGAUACUGUCACGUUCUUUGACUUUUUUGGCUAUAUUUGUCCUAUUUGGUUAUAUAAGUGUUGGUCUUGCUCACCACCACCAUCUAAUAAUUAUCUGUUCUCUCUAAACUCAUACUUCGUCCUUGCCAGUCUCCAGCCAAUGCUUGCUCGGAAUAAAAAAAUGUCAUUACAAAUAGCUAAGAGUCAUAGCCUACCCCUACCAAUGACUGUGAACAAAGGUCCUUUAAUAUGUGUUAUGGUAGAAAUAAUUCAUCCAUCAAUUACGACUCUAUUAUUAACCAGAUGAAACAUGCUAAACUAUAAAAAAAUAUCAUGCAUUUGUUUAUCAACGGUGGACAUUAUUCGCCUCUGAAUUGCAUAACAGAACGCAACUUUAAUUUGUGAUUAAAUAAACUAAUUUAUAUAAUAAAGUUCAAGGGUACAGUUGAUAUUUCCAUGAGGACAAUCAAAGCUUGAAUUAUUUGCUGCAUACGUACCUGCUUACACACAUGCGUAUAUACAUGUGCGUAUAUAUACAUAAUCUCACACGCGCGCACGCGCAUAUAUAUAUGUGUGUGUGUGUGUGUGGAUGGAUGGAUGAAUGGAUGCACGGUGCAUGCAUCCUACAUGUAUAUAAUGGAGGCUUAGUUCUUUUUCAUCAUGUAGACUCCCGUAUUAAUGAUGUUAAUAUUAAUAUGCUAGCCAUUAUUAAAGUUCAUUACUUAAUAUGCAAUGAAUAUUAAUGAUGAUGAUAUUAGUGUACUUAUCUAUCACUAAAAAUUAUUACUUACUAUGCGACAUUGAAGCCUUUUAUUUAUUAUAAUAUACUAUAUUAUAUUAUUAUAUUUUCAAGAAUAGAUAAAAAAAUUAAAAAAAUUGUACUCAUUAUAUGACGCCAGAAUUAAAGACACCAGAAUUAAUGACGAGAGUAUUUACAUAAAAGCUUGCUUAUGUAGAGUUCUUCAUUUGCCAUAUGGACACUGAUAUCAAUGAUGACGACAAAGUUUGUCGUACCGGUUGGUAUCAAUGCAUAUUGACGCUAUCGGUAUACGAUAUAGAAGGGAUACCGAACCAGUAUGCGAUACAAGAGGUGUACCAAGUGUCGGUAUACUGAAUUAGCUCUACACUGGGUGUACCGGCAUAGUAAUAGAAUGGCAUCACUAUAGGAUUCGAUACCGAGGCAGCAUACUUUGGAUGUCAGUAUUAAUAAUGAGAAUUUAUACUUGGUGGCUUAAUUUCUGUAGAGGUCUCUAUUCGUUGUAUGGAUGUUAGCAUUAAUUUGUUGGUCAUUGUUAAAUUUUAUUUUUUAUUAUACAAUGGAUAUUAAUGAUGCAGAUAUUAAUAUCUCCAAUCAUUAUUGAAUUCCAUUAUUUAAUAUACAGCAGAAAUUUGACUAUUUAGACGUCAUAUUUGUUAUAUUUGUUGCACUGUCGUAUGGCAUAUUGAAAAUAGUUAGUAAAAAGAGGAAAAAUCACAUUACAUGGUUUUGGAUCAAUGGCAUCCAUAUUAAUGAUGAGAGUUUCUAAACUAGGCUAAGCUUAUGUAGAGCUCUCAAUUGCUAUGUGAAAGCUGCUAUCAAUGAUGCUAGUACUAAUGAUAGAAAUUUGUACUUGGUCGUCAUUAAAAGUUAUUGCUUAUGUAUAACAGACCUUGUGGUUAAUGGGACAGCAUACAACCUUGUGGUCGCCAUUUCUUAGUAAUAAAAUACAAGCUGAUCUCUCUUCGUCCUUUAA